GCCCAUCAACGCUCGGUCAAGUCCCCACGUAUUGUGUGAGGAAAUUUGGCCAGACGCGGACGUUGGCUCUCCGAGCUGUGAAGCGCGGUGGGCUUAAGAGCACGGCCGUUGACGGUUUCGGGAACGGCGAGUUGUGGGCUACAGCGAAUGCCAAUCCCGACACAUGUGUUGACAUGUGGCCAUUUUUGACCCUGGACAAGUAGAUUUGUCGCUGUAGCGUCUCGCUUUGCGACAUCUUCGGACC
rnacentral:misc_RNA from 1 species